rnacentral:rRNA from 1 species
AAGAAGCGAAAGUGACGGUACCUGCAGAAGAAGCACCGGCUAACUACGUGCCAGCAGCCGCGGUAAUACGUAGGGUGCGAGCGUUGUCCGGAAUUAUUGGGCGUAAAGAGCUUGUAGGCGGUUUGUCGCGUCUGCUGUGAAAAUCCGGGGCUCAACCCCGGACUUGCAGUGGGUACGGGCAGACUAGAGUGUGGUAGGGGAGACUGGAAUUCCUGGUGUAGCGGUGGAAUGCGCAGAUAUCAGGAGGAACACCGAUGGNGAAGGCAGGUCUCUGGGCCACUACUGACGCUGAGAAGCGAAAGCAUGGGGAGCGAACAGGAUUAGAUACCCUG